UGAGGAUGUAGCUCAGGGGUAGAGUGAUUGCCUAGCAUGCACAGGGCCCUGGGUUCAAUCCCAGGCACUGAA
rnacentral:tRNA from 1 species